GAUGAAGAACGCAGCGAAAUGCGAUAUGUAAUGUGAAUUGCAGAAUUCAGUGAAUCAUCGAAUCUUUGAACGCACAUUGCGCCCCUUGGUAUUCCGAGGGGCAUGCCUGUUCGAGCGUCAUAUUAACCACUCCCGCUUGCGGGGUCUUGGGCUUCGCCUCCGGGCGGGCCUUAAAAUCAGUGGCGGUGCCGUCGGGCUCUACGCGUAGUAAAUUUUCUCGCGAUAGGGUCCCGGUGGAUGCUUGCCAACAACCCCCAACUUCUUAAGGUUGACCUCGGAUCAGGUAGGGAUACCCGCUGAACUUAAGCAUAUCAAUAAGCGGAGGA
rnacentral:misc_RNA from 1 species